GCCUGGGUGGCUCAGUUGGUUAAGCAUCCGACUUUGACUCAGGUCAUGAUCACAGGGUUCGUGGGUUCGAGCCCCACAUCAGGCU
rfam:Felis catus isolate Cinnamon breed Abyssinian chromosome E2, whole genome shotgun sequence.